rnacentral:misc_RNA from 1 species
GUUGAACGCAAAAGUGAGAAGUGGGUGCCUGGCAAGCGAGGCUGCCGGCGUCUCUGAGAAGCACCUCACGCGGACCUACGGCAUUGUCGUUUUUGUCAGCAAGCGCGCUAGAGAAGAAAGCAGCCGAGCGCGAAGCGAAGUGCAGGGCGCGUACUUACGUACCCAGCUCAGUAGGCACCGGAGGAUUCUGCGGUUGCGCUCGUCGAGGGGAACCCCGUCGUCAUCGGCGGGUGCCUUCUCGGAUUGCCGGUGGAGGAACUCAAGCACCGAUGGCGCGUGCGCGAGCAGCUCGCGCGUAAACCGGCACCGCGCGGCGGCGUCAACCCCCGUGUCGCCGCCCUGGUCCUGCGCAGCCUCCUCGGGGAGCACGGUGAGCAGCUCCAGCACGGCGGGGGGCGGCAGGUGCGGCAUACGCGCGAAGAGGCCGUCGACGCCGCCCUCGGCGCGGAGCGCCAACGCGGCGAGCGCCAGGCAGAUCUGCGUGAGCAGCUGGCGCGGUGCCGGGGCGGCGCAGAACCGCCGCGCGGCCAGGAGCAGCGCAUCGAGGAGCUGCGACGCCAGGCCGAGCCCGAGGAGCGCGGGGCCCGGAGACUGGAUCUUCCGGCGGAGCAUCUGCGCGGCGAAGAAGAGGAGAUCGGCGGGCGGGAGCGGGUCUGGGGUGGCCAGGAGGGAGGUGGCGACUGCCCACGCCUGCGGGGACCGCUGCAGCGCGAGGAGCCAUUGGUUAGCGGCGAGGCGCGCCUCGGGACGCGCGUCGUGGUUGAGCGCGUGCACGGCCGCGGCCAGCCGCGCCUGCACCUCCGAGGCCUCCGCGGCGUCCAUCGCGGCGACGGCGGAACGGAUGGCGGGUGGAUUUGGAAGCGGCCGGGAGGGAGGCAGGGGACGGCCGGACGGAGGGGAUUGGGCCGAGUGGCACGCAGUCGCGCACGGACGAGUGGCGGAAUGUUAGAAUUUUUUUUUUUCAGCCCCGUUCGGUUAGAGGAGUAAUAUUUUUAAGGAUGUUUGGUUUGUAGUGACUUAUUUUUAAUACUUUUAUUUUAUUUUAUUUUAGUUUCUAAAUU